GGGCGGCGGCUCCGCGGCGCCUCUGGAGUAGCAGGUGUUUCUGUGGUUACCGCUUGUUUACUCAGUAAACAGCCUAUUUCCUGAGGAGCAGGGCCUCGCUCUACCGGCUCCUCCAACUUCAAGAAGAAGUACCGAGCACCCCCAGUCAUUCCGCACUCACUGCUGCUUUAAAGACCAGCUUGCAUCUGAGCAACUUAAAAAUGUGUGAGAUUUGGAAUCUCCCGAGGCACAUUGCCUCAGGGUUGCUCCUCCCACCGCACCCCAGGCAUAAAGAAGGUCCCUCCAAGUCUAGACAAGAAGUGACCCAUUUUUUCCCUGGGGUCAGUAUUGCUAUUCUGAACAUUGUUUCUAGAUGUAAUGUUCUAUAAUACAAGCUCUUCAGAAAAAUACACUUCUAAAAAAAAACCACUGAGGAGGAUGAGGCUGGAGGUGGAGGACAAGGCCAGCCUACACAGAGUGACCUGUCUCAAAACAAUUAUUUUCUAGUUAAAAAACAAAAAACUACCAAGUGAUCGUUGACUUCAAUGAAAAGGGAGUGAAUCUGUUGCUAAGCCCUCAAAUCUCAAUAAAAGUGCCUUCUCGUGUACGACUGCAAGAGCAGUGGUGGCCAUGCUGCUGUUUCUGCCCUGGUUCCCAGCCACUACACCUGCCCGCCAUCCUUACCUCCACCUCCACCCCGAGGCUGUUCCAGCCAGGAUCUCCACUUCAUGUUUCUUUCUCCAGAGAGAAGACAGUCCCACAUCCAAGGCUGGUCUUGGGAGUGAUGACCCCAGGCUAACAACGCAGUACGAGGUCCCUCCCAGAUGAGAGACAGACAAAGAGACCAAGAGGAAAUGUAACCAUCAGUUGAAAACAGUAGUGGGCCUAUGUCUCUUGUCUUCAGGUAGGCAUUGCAGUGUUUAACUGAGCCAAGGUCUGAGGUCUGUAUUGUGUUUUUUUCUGGUCAGGAAGAAAAUUGUUAAUGAGAAAUAGCUGUCUAAAUAACAUCUCAUGUGAUUUUAAACCUAAUGCCCAAGGAAUGUGAUACCUUAAACCAUUGAAGAAUCACACCAAUCACUUUAUUCUUUGGACAUCUUCCUGCUGGGUGUUUAAGACCAUACAGGUAGCUAAAAUUAAUCACUUUUUUUAAACUGUCAAGAUUCUAUGAGAAUCUUGUUCUUGUGGGUUGUCUGGGCUCAAGAGAAACCUCUGGAUCCUCUAACCUCCUUUUGUUUUUCAGUCAUUCAUGGAUGUGAGAAUAAUUCAAAGGCCUUGCUUGACAAUGACUUCCCUUGAAGCAUGGAGGAGAUUUUUCCUCUGGACUGACACUCCCCUGCGCAAACCAGACACUGUGAGAGCUCGCCAGGGGGAUCUCUGCCUGCUGCCCAAGAGAGCAGGGGAUUGCCCACGGUUGCAGGACAUUUAGAGAGGUGUCCCAUAGUCCCCUGGUAAUACUUGACCAUGGAGAGCUGGGGGGUGGCGUGCGUGCGUGCGUGCGUGCGUGCGUGCAUGCGUGCAUGCAAAAUUCUCCCUCUCAUCCCUCUUAUCUCAUUAGUAUAGCCUCCAAGUAUGGUUAUCGAACUCUCGGAAGGUCAGUGGCACCACUUAGAUACUUUUAACAACUAUGUAAUAUUUAGAUAAAACUUGAGCAAAAACCAAAUGUUAUGCCCAGAUCAUGACCCCAAAGAGACCACCAAAGACCAAAGGUGUCCAGAAUGCAACAGCAAGGUUUAUUCUGUAGAUACAAGUCUAGACAGGGAACUCAUUCCUACACCCAAUACAGUGAGGCAGGGAGGAGUUGCUCUUUCUUUGUGUGGCUAGCUUUUUAAAGGCAAAAACCACAAGCCCUUCAGGGGGGCUGGGGGGGUUUUGCAUGGGUGCAACUCGGAUUGGUUUAUUUUUAUCUCUGUUCUCUUUUAAUUGGGUGAGGGUAUGUAACCUUUAAAUUUACUGGUUGGUGGUUACAAUUAUCACUUUGGGGGCAGUCCAGCACAAGUCCCAGGCUUUGACCUUGAGCCGCCAUGGGGGCUGGCUGGCCUAGCACGUACUGACUGUGGGUGCUGGCUCAGUGGUCCAGGCUCUGUCCUUGACUCAUGCACAUAACUCUAAGUUGGUGAGGGGUCCCAGACAGUAAGCAUCUGGCUGAACUUUGAGCAAUCAGAGUACGUGCAGAAAGGGAGCUACUGCAAGGACUAUGUCUUUUGUUCAUGGCCCUCCCAGAAACUGCUUGCUCAACUCUCAGGAAACUGAAAUUGAGGCCUGAUCUCUGAGAGAAGACUGAGCAGCCUGUUAUGGCAUCUGCUUGGUCCUUUCACCAAACACUUUUAAAUUCACUUUGAUUAGACAUACAUUUCUGUUUUUAAGCCAGUCCUUGUAAUUAUUUUGGAGAAUAGAUCAACAACUCCUUUGAUUUAAACAUCAGUGCUUUGAACUUUGACUUCUUACACACCUUGCUCAGACCCUUGUAACUUGCUUAAACUUUCCAGCUUUCUUUGCUAUGCUUAAAAAAAGCAUCCCGCCAUGAUAUGAGACAUAAUAGCUAACAAAUCAACAAUCCACAGUAGACAUGACAACUGAAAAUGAUGCAGCUGGUGUCAUGGUAAUUGUGUGUCUGGGAAGAUAGUAUUACCUAAUACCACCUUAAUGAAAGAAAUCCAUAUAUCCAAAUGGUAUACAUAACGAAUUAAUACUACCUGUGUAUUUAUUGUUGAACUGUAGGGCUUGGUAAGUUCGCAGGUAAAACUUGUAGAAAACACAGGAAGACAGUCUUCAUACAUGUAGAUCAAUCUACCAUAAUGAUGCUUUUGGUUUUAAAUAAGUGUAAGUGGCAGCUAGGGACGGAGCUUUAUAUCGUGAGAUACAUAAUAGUCACAUCUUUAUUCUUUGGUUGUUUUCUUAUUCUUUCUCCCUGUUACUGAGUUAGGCGGCCAGCCUGAUUCAGUGAGGGGAGCUUUGGAGGAUGUUUUGAAAUAAAAUAUGCUUGAGUCUGACAUGGGAAUGCCAAGUCCCACCUCCAUAACUAGUUUCUCCUCGAGAUUCAAACAGCACUUGACAAUGUGAUGUGCAGACAAAGCAUUUGUUCCUCUGUAAAACUGAAUCUAGUGGUCUACACUGAAAAAGAGACUCAAUGCUUAGUGCAGUGACAGGCCCCCAGCAUCUGUCCUCCUUAUAACCCAUAGUCUUGUCUCCGUGGGUCAUGGUGACCCCUUUAGAGACAGCAUUGCUCUGCUCUAGUGAUCAGUCACAGGCCUGAAGACAGAGCCAGAUAAGAAAAGCAGCAGCGGACUCCAGCUCACUGCAGGGGAGGCCUAGGAGCCAAGAUCUAUCUGUAUCAUUCUAGGACCCAUCAAGCUACCAAUUCAGAAAAUCUAGUUGUAAGCCCCUUGAGGCUUGAACAGCUAAACACUACCUCCCAGAGUCUCUAAGUGCGGUCCCCAGGCCCUUGAGGCUGGAGAGUGGCCACGCCCCACCCUACAAAAAAAAGCUCAAGACCAACCACAUAAUCCCUCCAAUCCCAGGCUAUCCUGAAAAGCCCUGCCCCUAGAAACCUUAUAUAAGCCUGCCUCCUGUUCAGGUCUGUGCUGCUUCUCCCCAGCAGAGGCAGCUACCCUCUUGUGUUUCUCCCAAUAAAUCUCUUGUGUGAGGUUUGUUGUACAUGUGACUUUGUGGUAUUCCUUGGCUCCCAACUGCCAGGAUACCUUUACCCUCAGAGCUGUAACACCUCCUGUUGUGGUUUGGUCUUGCUCUUUUUAUGCUUUGCUCUUUUGGGAACCCACCACCCAGCUCCCAAAUAAACACAUGGAGGCUUAUUAUUACUUAUAAAUGUCUGGCCUUAGCUUGGCUUAUUUCUAGCCAGUUUUUCUUAACUUUAAUUAUCCUGUCUACCUUUUGCCUCUGGGUUUUUUCCUGUCCUUACUUCUGCAAAUCUUACUUUCACUCUUACCCUGUUGUUUGCUGUGUUGCUGGGUGGCUGGCCCUGAUGUCCUCCUCUCCUAUUCUCACUCCUCCAUCUCUCUUCCCAGAUUUCUAUUUAUUCUCUCUGCCUGACAGCCCCACCUAUCCUUUCUUCUGCCUCACUAUUGGUUGUUCAGAUCUUUAUUAAACCAUCAGGAGUCUUAGACAGGCACGUAACACAGCUUCACAGAGUUACACAAAUGCAACAUAAAAGAAUGCAACAUAUUUUACAUCAUUAAAUAAAUGUUCCACAGCAUAAACAAAUAUAACACAUCUCAAAAUAAUAUUCUACAACAACUUCCACUAGGGAAAUCUUUUCCCUCAGAGAUGUAAUACUUAUACUAGUCAUUUGCAGAAAUUAAGAGGGAAGAACCAGACCACAAUUAUGAUCAGAUCACAGCAGAAUCAAAGUCCAACAGUGGCCAAUAUUUGGGAUCCACUCAUGAUCUUCUGGGCUUAGGCAGCCCCCAUUUCUCUCUGCCCUCCACAGCACAUAUAACUCAUCUCAUAGGCUCAAUGCUGUAUUUUAAAAAGGGUGGGAAGGAGUCACACCAUACAACAGGACCCACAUGGGAGGUUUAUUGAUGGGAGGGGAGAGAAGGGGGCAGAGACUGGUCCCUGGGGAUGAGAGGGAAGUAAUAGAAAGAGACGGGAGGUGUACAAGGCCCGCCUUUUAUAAGGACACAUAGAGAAGGCACACAGGGGAUGCUCUUAGUGGCUGCAGCUGAGGUCCUUCUAAGGGCAGGCAGUACAGAUGCCUAAAUGCUAACACUCAGGCCAGCUUCAUUAUACAGCUGCUGAUGUCUUUGGUAGUCACCCCAAAGUUAAUAACAUAAAAACCAGCACUACCUGGGUGGCCCUUACACAUUUAGAGUUGGGCUGCCAGCCUAAGAUAAAACCUUGGCCCUCAAUGGACCCCCUGUGUGUGCAGACCCUGAGGAAUACAUUAGAGAUUUCACCUCAAUGAUACUGGUCUCUUCUUCCCACCCCCCAGGGGGGUGGGGCAUGUUAGAGACAGGGUAUCUGUAUAGUCCCACUCUGGAACUCACUCUGUAGACCAGGCUGGCCUCGAAUUUACAGAGAUCCUCCUAUCUCUUCCUCCCUAGUGCUGGGAUUAAAAGCGUGUGCCACGACUGCCAUCCUCUGCCCAUUUUUAAUAGAAACUGGCUGUUCAUAACACCUUCCCUACUAUAUCUCACUACACACCAUGAAGCCAAAUAUUAAAGCUUGCAAUGGAUAGAUUAUUCUGUUUUGUUUUUGUUUUUGUUUUGAGACAAGGUCUCAUAUGACUCACACUGGCCUCAUUUAUAAACACAGCUAUAUAUAAUGCCACACUAAAGUUACAAAGAGUCAGUCCUCUAAGAAUUUCAUUUAAAGCUUUGUUUUAAUGGAUAGCCAUGAAAUUUCUGUCAAUAUUUUUAAAAAAUUAUUAGCAUUUUCCAAUUAAAUUGUCACACUUCCAGGUUGGUUAUGCUAUAGCAUCUUCUAACCUGUCAUCCUUUCCUGUAAAACAAGCCUCAGACAUUAUAAUCAGAGGGAGCCAGAAGAAGCUGCUUUGCGCACUUCAAUAGUCAGUAAUUAGUAUAUGAAUCUUCGCUUUAUUCAUGUGAAUCAUUAGGCUAUAAAUCACUUGAUACCGAUUUGCAGGACUGCAAAAGCAGCUCUGGUACUUCACUGGGCACUAGAAUUAGCUCCCUUGGUAGAGCAAAAGGGUCCCAAGUAGAAGGAAAGCAUUCUUUUUUUUUUUUUUUUUUUUCUGGAGCUGAGGACUAAACCCAGGGCCUUGCGCUUGCUAGGCAAGUGCUCUACCACUGAGCUAAAUCCCCAACCCCAAAAGCAUUCUUUAAAAUUGAGUAAUCUGAUUAGUAAAAUGAACUCAGGGAAGAAAACCUCACUCAGUUCACUGGUCUCAUUUUUUGAUUUUACAGAUGACCUUUACCAAGGCCAACAACAUAGAGGUCACACAAGGUUAGCUAACUAGAAAGUGGCAAAACCAAGAUCAGAAGGCUCAUUUCUAUUAAUCUAUUAUCUUACAGUAUGCAUACAAAAGCACCAAUAUACUUACCCAUAAUAUGUAUGUUUACCUUUGGUUGCUGUUGUUUUUUGGUUUUCUGUUUUUAGAGAAAGGAUUUCUCCAUGUAGCCCUGGCUGUCCUGGAACUCAUUCUGUAGACAAGGGUACACUUGAACUCAGAUAUUCACCUGCCUCUGCCUCCAGAGUGCUGGGAUUAAAGGCAUGUGCUACGACCACCCGGCUGUGUUUUACCUUUUUUAAGAAAGUGGACUGGGUCUAGAGAGAUGAAGAGAUGAUCUGUCGCUCUCUUCUGCAGGCAGCAGGUACACACACGGCAUUUACUCACACAGACAUACACAUAGAUUAAAAAGUUAAAAAUGGAUAAGUAUGGUGACUUACAUCUGUAAUUAUAAGACUCAGAAGGCUGAUGCAGGAAGAUUGCCAUGAAUUCAAUGCUAGUCUGAGCUUCAUAGUGAGUCCAAAGGCCAACCUGGGCUACAGAGUAUGAUCUUGACUCUAAGAAAGAAAAACAAAAAUUAUUAUUCGGGAGGCUGAGACAUGAGGGUCAGGAAUUAAAAGCCAGCGUGUAGCCGGGCAGUGGUGGCGCAUGCCUUUAAUCCCAGCACUCGGGAGGCAGAGCCAGGCGGAUCUCUGUGAGUUCGAGGCCAGCCUGGGCUACAGAGUGAGUUCCAGAAAAAGGCGCAAAGCUACACAGAGGAACCCUGUCUCGAAAAACCAAAAAAAAAAAAAAAAGCCAGCGUGUACUCCAGAGUGAGUUCCAGGCUAUCUUGUACUACAUAUGACCCGAUCUCAAACAAAUAAACAAACUAACUAACUAACUAACUAACUAAAAGCAAAUGAAUACAUAAAGUACUCUCUAUAGGAGCCUUACUGAUUUGCUGUUCAGUUUAUUCUCCAGCACCUAAUAACAGUCACUAGCCCAUAGCACAUUCUCUAAAUUUAUCCUAAGAAUUACCUUCAGCAUGCAACAUGACAUGGCACAAAUCUAAAGUUAUGUCUUCCAUAAAGUGCUUCAUCUUAGUUUGACCUGAACUAUACAUGCUUAUUACAUGAAAGCUGCACUCCCCCAACCCUGUAGUGCAAAGGAUUGAACCCAGACUCUAACAGACUUCCAAUAUGCUAGGCAGGAGCUCUACCACUGAGCUCAUCCCCAUUCAUAUUGUCUUUCUCGUAAGUUCUAAAUUUGCCAUCUUUAACAGUGUCUAUACCUGCCCUUCUCUACUUGUACCUCUAUCUCCUAGUUUCCAGUGUGUGUGUGUGUGUGUGUGUGUGUGUGUGUGUGUGUGUGUGUGUGUGUGUGUGUAUGAGACAAAGUAUCUUAGACCUGAGGAUAACCUUGAUAUUCUGAUCCUCUUGCUGUUGGGGAAUAUUAUUUUAAGGUGUGUUACUUUUGUUUAUGUUGCAUUUGUUUAAUUCUGUGAAGCUGUGUUACUGUGUCUGUCUAAAACACCUGAUGGUCUAAUAAAGAACUGAAUGGCCAAUAGUGAGACAGGAGAAAUGAUAGGUGGUACUGGAAGGCAGAGAGAAUAUAUAAAAAGAGAGAUCUGGGAGGAAAAAUAAAAGGAGCCAGAGAAGGAGGAGGACUCCAGGGGCCAGGCAUCCAACUACACAGCAAGCCAUGGAGUAAGAAACAAAGAAAGGUAUACAGGAAUAGAUAAGGAAAAGCCCAGAGGCAAAAGAUAGAUGGGAUAAUUUAGGUUAAUAAAAGCUGGCAAGAAACAAGCCAAGCUAAGACUGGGCAUUUAUAACUAAUAAGUCUCUCCAUGUGUGAUUUAUUUGGGAGCUGGGUGGUGGGCUCCUCAAAAGAGCAAAAGCAAUCACUUACAUUUUGGCAUACCAAUCUGAGGCUCGACUAUCCCUAGGGACUGAGAAAAGGGGGAGGGAAAACAAAUAUGGCUCCUUGAAGAGUUCCUGCCUGCCAGUCAGUGAGCCCUUGAGCAGCCAGUACAUUAAGUAGGAACAAAAAACUAAGUAAAAAUGCCUGCCACAGUGCAAGCAUCAUCAUUUUAGAGCUCUAGGAAGGCUGAAUGCAGUAGUUCGUCAUAAACCUCCCAUCGAGCCGUGAGUUUUAGGCUUGGCUUUCAUGACCACAGAAGUGGGCAGAGCCAGUCUAGAGCCUUAUGUGGAGGAUACAGAUGUAGGUUAGCAGUUUACAAGUUUGCUCACAUGGUCAAAAAAGGCUGAAAGAUAUGCUGUUGUUGGUAUUUUACUCUUUUGGGGGCCCUCCACCCAGCUCCCAAAUAAGUCACAUGUCGCGUCCGCCUCAACCAGCAAGGAAGACACAACACCAGGCUCUUCUCCAAGCAGUUUAUUCAGGAACCUUGAACAAUCUUCUGAAAGCCAGCCCACGCCCUUUAUAGCCACUCGGCAACCAACCCCAUAGUGCCACAUGGACAAUGCCGAUAGGUCAGACAUACGCAAGCAAGCCAGAUUCCACACCCAAGCCAAAUAAGGAGUUGUUUAUCCCAGAGAACACCUGCCAUCGCGAAGGCGGAAGCCGGAUGCUGGCACCAUCUUUGAGGCGCGGCCGUGCAUGGCUCUCUACAGUCACACACAGAGGCUUUAUUCUUAAUUAUGAAUGUCUGGCCUUAGCUUGGCUUAGUUUCUUGCCCACUUUUCUUAACUUUAAGUUAGCCCAUCUACCUUUUGCCUCUGGGCUUUUUCCAUUCUCUUACUUCUCUGUGACUUGCUGUGUAGCUGGGUGGCUGGCCCCUGAGUCCUCCUCCUUCUCUGGCUACUUCUCCUUUUUCCUCCCAGAUUUCUCCUACAUAUUCUCUCUGCCUGCCAGCCAUGGCUAUCCUUUCUCCUGCCUUCCUAUUGGCCAUUCAGCUCUUUAUUAGAAAAUCAGGUGUUUUAGACAGGUAAAGUAACACAGCUUCAUAGAGUUAAACAAAUGCAACAAAACAAAAGUAACACACCUUAAAAUAAUAUUCUACAACAACACAUAGUAAAAGAGGUUCAGACAGAAAAACCUUCUAAACAGGUUCAAGUGUGUUUUAUAAUGUGCGUAGGCUUAAGAAAGAAAAGAAUGUAGGUAUAGGGCUGGAGAGAUGGCUCAGUGGUUAAGAGCACUGGCUGCUCUUCCAGAGGUCCUGAGUUCAAUUCCCAGCAACCACAUGGUGGCUCACAACCAUCUGUAAUGAGAUCUGGCACGUAGGCAGAACACUGUAUACAUAAUACACAAUGAAUAAAUCUUUUAAAAAAAGAAUAUGGGUAUAAGCAGUUAUAGAGUUUGAAAAAUAAAGCCUUUAAAGAGAUAUAAAAGAAAAAAAGCCAUGUAAGAUGGGAAAUAUACAGGAAGUUUGCAUCCUAUAUAAUAUUGUGUUGAUUUUUAAUUUUUUUGAAUGCUGACAAGCAAGCAAUACCAGCUAAGAUGCAUGGGGUUGUGAACUGGACUGCUAAAUUGAACCAAUCUAGAUACUUUAGGAAUGCCUUAACUCUAAAAAAGAAAUAAAAAAAUGUAUUUUUCAAAUGGAAAUAAAAAAUGCUUUGGAGUUUUGUUCCCACAGGAGACGAGAGGCUGUGGAUUCCUUCAGGAAUGAGAUGAAUCAGGUAUGAUGAAGGGAGACCUCCUGAACCUCGACAGGUGAUAUCUAUCCACAAAGGUUACUGCUGGUCUUCCCAGGACUUGGCCAUUAUCUGAAAAUUUCUCUGGGACCCUAAAGAUACUUCAUCCACAGACAGCAGGAAGCAGUUUGGAGAACACAAAGUCCACAUUCCCAAGAGUUGGGUUGUGGGAGGCCUUUGGUUAUUUGGUGGGCUAUGGAUGUUUGUUAUUAUUUAGGGGAAUAUAGGAAUAUAGAAUAAAGAGACAACUAUUAAUUUCA